rnacentral:lncRNA from 1 species
UUUCAGCACAGCUGAAGCAGGAGGAAGAGACACGAAGCACUUUUUUUUUUUUUAAAGAAAGCCGACAAAAGCUUCACGAAGAGUCAGACGAGAGAUGGGAUGUGGACAUUCUUCGCCGGCUGCCAGCAGCAAAGACAGCAGCAGCGCUGCAGGUGAGAAAGGCUGAGAGGACUUUUGUGCAUGAAAAUGAUUGUUUUGUUAGACGUCUUUAUACAAUGCAAUUUCUUUUUGAUUUUUCAGUGAACCUGUGCUCUUAAAGUUGCCUUUUUUUUCAUUUAUCCAUCAAAAAUAGUCA